CUAAAUUAUUUGCACAGUAAAUUUCAUAUUUUUUUUAUUUUUUUUUCAUUGGAGGUCUGACAAUUAAUUUAUUGUAUCAAAGCGGUAUGAGUGUACACUGAUAAUAUACUUUUCACUCGUACCUCGGUUCUGCAGCCUUUUUGUCAUUAUUGAUAUUCAACCCAUUACACACAGGGUGCAGAAAUUGGGGAGCUGAUCUGACAAGCAUUUCCCCCCUUGUUUACAUCUACUAGCCAUACAUUUGUUUAUUUAAACCUCUGUGCCCACAACUAAAGGAUAAGAAUCUCACUCUUUGUGGAUAUUGGGUGCAAAUUGAAACUGCCGCUUUCAAUUUUUAACACCUCUAAUGGCAAUCACUAGUGGCCACUAGAGGUGCUAACCAAUCUGGUAUUCAGCGUCUCCACUCUCCGCAUAGCUAUGCACUGAUUUAAUGCCUCUCUAUGAGGAGACGCUAAUUUGCUCAACACAGCAUUUUGCUGCGUGUGCUCAAUAGCCUACCAAUACUCUCCUGUGGGAAUGCUUUGAAUUGGCUGAGAUCAUCACGACCGGCUCGGGGAAAAAGUGAAGGAGCACAGAAAUGGUACCUAAAUAGUUAUUUUAACACUAUAGUGUCAGGAAUAUAUGUUUAUGUUUCUGACACUGGUGUUCCUUUAUUUACCCACUAGUAUCUCAUGCUGUUUUGGUUUUUGAGUUAAGGGUUUUGUCAAAAACAUUGUGCAGUUAUUCAGUAAAUGGUG